UUCACAGUGAUUCUCCUAAAGAGGCUUAAGUUUACAUUUUGCUUAUGUCUCCUGAAUAAAGGAGAAAUCAUGACCGAGUGAAGAAGCAGUGGCUGUGUUUACAGUUCCGAGGAGGCCAACAAGCCAGCCCAGAGACUCUACUGGUGAAUAUAUUAUGUGAAGAAGGAAAUGUGAAUGGCAUCUGCUCUCUGGAACUUGCUUGGACACGGCCGGUAGCCAAAGACACGGACCACUCACUGAAGUCCAGAAUGAUCCUUUUUGGAAAAGGGAGUUCAAAAGACACCUUGGGACCUGAGUAAAUUCCCACAAAUGAAAAUUGACUGGAUUUAAUGAACUUUUUCAGAAUCCAGAAAAGAUGGGACCUCAGAGCCAAGGGGGCAUGGUAAUGCAUGGACUUCAAGGAAAAUAGACAGAAACUCACAGUUCAAAGACAGUUAUCACUCCUCCAACGUUGACAGGUGUCACCAAGUGAUACAAGGAAGAAAGGUUCCGUGGCCAGCCAGCACUGGGUCUUACUGAUAAAAGCACAUUUUGAUUACAGUUUUCAGUGGCCCAUGUGAAACAGGUAAGAUGAUUGAUUUAAUGACAACCGUUUUGAGAGACAGAAGAAAAAUAAUUAUUAGCGAUGGCCCCAACCCUAAAAUGUUUCCAGACAUUUCAGUUGUGACGAGCACAGUUUAUUCUCUGCAUUUUUUUUUUUAGUAAAUCAAAAAAGUAAAAAUCCAAACAA